UCGAAGGCUUUGAACAGUUUCGGCCGGCAGCCGCAGCGACGACAGUGGCAGCCGGUUCGCG
rnacentral:sRNA from 1 species